UGGAUUUACGCAUUUUUGAGACUGGUGAAUAUGCACUCGUAGCAUGGGUUGGGGUACCUACUGCGCCAGCAUGGCUUCCAACAGAGAUGCUUAUCAAGUCAGAGAAACUCGAUUAUGAGAGACUGUAAUGCGAUAAGCCAAUUGAGGACCCAGCAUAUAUUUAUCACCUUCUGCAACUCGUAUUGUAAUUUUGUAAAGAUGAUUAUAAUAGAUGUCAUUGAUCGAUCAGGCACACAAAGAACACUAUGAUUAGGCCAAUACGUGAUGAGGCCUCAUUUGAACUCACAAAGUGAUUUGAUCAGAACACGGCAAAGACGACCCUGUUUGCCACGAAAUCUAUUAUGUGUGGAUUUUGGAUUCUCAAAGAUUAUUGUUUUCGAUAAUGGAACUCAGUUUGAUUGCCACAAA